rnacentral:rRNA from 1 species
GACGAACGCUGGCGGCGUGCUUAACACAUGCAAGUCGAACGGAAAGGCCCUGCUUUUGUGGGGUGCUCGUGUGGCGAACGGGUGAGUAACACGUGAGUAACCUGCCCUUGACUUUGGGAUAACUUCAGGAAACUGGGGCUAAUACCGGAUAGGAGCUCCUGCUGCAUGGUGGGGGUUGGAAAGUUUCGGCGGUUGGGGAUGGACUCGCGGCUUAUCAGCUUGUUGGUGGGGUAGUGGCUUACCAAGGCUUUGACGGGUAGCCGGCCUGAGAGGGUGACCGGCCACAUUGGGACUGAGAUACGGCCCAGACUCCUACGGGAGGCAGCAGUGGGGAAUAUUACACAAUGGGCGGAAGCCUGAUGCAGCAACGCCGCGUGCGGGAUGACGGCCUUCGGGUUGUAAACCGCUUUCGCCUGUGACGAAGCGUGAGUGACGGUAAUGGGUAAAGAAGCACCGGCUAACUACGUG